GAGCUGACAAACGCAAACCAGAAGUUCAGACUUGACUCGUUUCCACCUGACUCAGGGCAGAGCAGGAGCAUCGAAAGCAUCUCCUCAUGGCCGACUCAAAUCAAUCUGACCAGUCCAAAUCAAUCCUUUGGCCUGUCCUAACAGCAAGGUGUUUCCAUCAACAGACCAGGGUCAUGGAGGAUCUUGAGCCUAUCUCAGGAACACUGGGAGUGAAGUAGCAUUUGACUGGGACACCAAUCCACCACAGGACAUCAAGCAUAUGUACAUUUAGACCCUCAUUCACACCUACGCUAAUUUAGCUUAGCUAGUUCAUCUACUGGCAUGUUUGGAGGUGGUAGGAAAGUAAAAUGAGUUCGGGAUCAAAUCGAGGACCCUGGAGCUGUGAGCCAGCAACAUACACAAAAAGUGCUAAUUAAACUAAUAUUCCCUGAAAUAAUUAUAGAAGCAUUUACGGAUCGGAUUCUAGAAAAACCUUACUGGCCUUACCAAUUAGCCCAUAUUUAGAAAUAAUGCAGACAAUAGGAUUCAUUUAUUUAAUUUAAUUUAGGAAUAUACAUUUACACAUGUGAGAACAGU